CAUCUGCAGCUUCUCUGGGCAACCUGCUCCAGUGCCUCACCACUCCUCACAGUAAAGAUUUUCUUCCCAAUAUCUAAUCUAAACCACCCUUUAGUUUAAAGCCAUUCCCCCUUGUCCUAUCACUGCGCCCAUGCUGGUUCUGAGGCAGCCUCUGCAGAGCUAGCCUGUUCUGAGCUGUCCUCAGCAAGCUCCAGUACCCCAGGGCUGCUGUCAGUGGGGCACCGUGUGUGUCCUCCAGACCACACCGCAGCCACCAGCUGGUAAAAUUCACAGCCUGCUGUACGUGCUGAUGUGGACUUGGCAGCUCCCCAUGUGACUGAGGAGGAAUGAACUGCCUCUCAGUUGUAUUGUUGCAAGCGUUGGGCUGAAGAUGCUGAAUGCUACCUGCACCAAGGACCUCUGCAAGGAUCCUUUGCUGUGGCCAGAAUCCUUUGUACGGGAAUGUGUGUGCGUGUCCAUCUGUCUCUGAGUGUUUUGCCUGGAUUUUGCACAUUUCUACUUCAAUCAACAAUUCUCAGCACAGAUGCUGAGCUCAUUUGCACACUGCAGUUUCCUGGGCAGCCUGUGCGAACAUCUGAUCUGUGCAUGUAGCUGAGCUGUGAGCAGCAUUAUACCUGACUUCUUGUUGAAUGGGUUCUCUCUCCAACUGGAAAGUCAGCGAAAGCCCUGUAAGUGCACAGCUCGCGACUUUCCUGCUGCCUCCCAUUAUGUUACACGCUUCUUCUCCACUUUUCCUCCAGGGAGCCUGAGUUGAACCCUUCAGCUACCUAUGGAAAUUGCACACCUGCUUCUUGGUGCUCCUUGCCAAGUACUGUAACAUCGCUUCCUCUCAUCGGUCCUUUCUAGCACAGCACUUGAAGCCUCUCCUAAAGUGCAUCUUUGCUUGCUUGGAAAACCCUCAUGGGUUUUGGACACGGGUUUGUAUGGCAUCUGAUAUCCCAAAACACCUAGAACCAUUUUUUGCAUCCCUUUGCAUUGACCAGUAACUGACACACACGUUCCUGCCUGUGGGAUCAUUAUCCUCUGUCUGCCCCCACAACAGCCUCAUCAGUCGGGGUUAGCCUUGCAGCCAUUAAGGAAACUUUAACAAAGACUGUUCUGCUGAAAGAGAACAUCUUGAUGAGGCCCAAUUUAUUUCACAGUUGUUAUCCUGCUGACCUAAAAUGACAGCAUGACACUUGGAGCAGUGCCCGGUUUAUUUAAGAAGCGAGCACAGAAUUGUGUCUCGUGGCCUGCAGAAGGAACAGAGCAGCACAAGGCGCUCCCAGCUCCUGGUCCUAGCAGCUCCCACCCCCAAAAUCUCACUGUGGCUUUUCUCGGGGCCAGUCCAGAUGGUGUUGCUUUUAGCUGUUUUUAAUAGUUCCAGUCUGUGCUUCACACAUCCCUUCAGGAGCAUGUGGAGGGCUGGGGGGGGGGCAUUGUGUGUUGCCCCAGGAUGACAUGUAUGCUGUUUGGGGCAGCACCGGAUGCCUGGAAACAGCUCAGGAAAGUGCCCGGGCUCCCUGGGGACUGAGACUUGCCCAGUGGCACGCUCCCAGCCAUCACUGACGCCCUGCCUGCAGCUCUCUGAUAGACCACACUCCUCUGGUUGCAGUGUGCUUGGUCCUCAGGGUCUGCCACGGAGGGAGAUGCGACAUGGUGUGAGGACGAGGGGCUGGAGUCGCAGGCUGCAGCAUGGGGAAGUCCGUCUGUGUCACAGUAAAAAAAGAAAUGAGAAAAGAGUGGAACAGUGCUUGGAGAGGUCAUGCGAUCUCCAGCCUUGAAGAUCCUUAAAACUCACCUGGGCAAGGCCCAGAGCAAGCCCGUCAAAUUUUGAAGUUGGACGAGAGCUCUGCAAAUGUCCCUCCCAAAUCAAGGUGCUUCAUGGAAGAGGAGUUAAAUGUGUGCCGUGAACUUGAGCUCAAAUUCUGGAUCAGAUUCCCAGCUGCUUUUGUCCUGGGAAAUGAGAUGGGCUUGUCUUCCUAUGAGAUUAAGCUCUUGUGAGAGUUCCUGCUUUUACAAAAGACUGAAUCUUUUUCUUAUCUUCCAGUGUUUUCUUAUCUUAAAUAAAGUGGUUAUUUUUCCUAGCUUUAUUGGGAUUAAUCUAUCCACUGCGAUGUCUAUUGUCAAGCUAGG